GACGAACGCUGGCGGCGUGCUUAACACAUGCAAGUCGAACGCUGAAGCUCAGCUUUUGUUGGGUGGAUGAGUGGCGAACGGGUGCGUAACACGUGAGUAACCUGCCUCCUUCUUUGGGAUAACGCCCGGAAACGGGUGCUAAUACUGGAUAUUCACUGGUCUUCGCAUGGGGGUUGGUGGAAAGGGUUUUUCUGGUGGGGGAUGGGCUCGCGGCCUAUCAGCUUGUUGGUGGGGUGAUGGCCUACCAAGGCUUUGACGGGUAGCCGGCCUGAGAGGGUGACCGGUCACAUUGGGACUGAGAUACGGCCCAGACUCCUACGGGAGGCAGCAGUGGGGAAUAUUGCACAAUGGGCGCAAGCCUGAUGCAGCGACGCCGCGUGAGGGAUGGAGGCCUUCGGGUUGUGAACCUCUUUCGCUCAUGGUCAAGCCGCAACAAUGGUUGUGGUGAGGGUAGUGGGUAAAGAAGCGCCGGCUAACUACGUG
rnacentral:rRNA from 1 species